rnacentral:rRNA from 1 species
UACGGGGGGGGCAAGCGUUGUUCGGAAUUACUGGGCGUAAAGAGCGCGCAGGCGGUCGUUCAAGUCGCGUGUGAAAGCCCCCGGCUCAACUGGGGAGGGUCACGCGAUACUGAUCGACUCGAAGGCAGGAGAGGGUAGUGGAAUUCCCGGUGUAGUGGUGAAAUGCGUAGAUAUCGGGAGGAGCACCAGUGGCGAAGGCGACUACCUGGCCUGUUCUUGACGCUGAGGCGCGAAAGCUAGGGGAGCAAACGGG